ACCCUGGUUCCCUUUCCCAUGGCAUCUGAACAGCCAUCCUGGUUGUCGUAAAAGGAGGACUGGUUACACUGAAGCUGUCCUCACGGGGCUUGUAGUCUGCUUUACAGCAGGUGGGCUAGUUUCAAACAAGG